AACGAACGCUGGCGGCAGGCUUAACACAUGCAAGUCGAACGCUCGACCUUCGGGUCGGGAGUGGCAGACGGGUGAGUAACGCGUGGGAACGUGCCCUUCGGUUCGGAAUAACCCAGGGAAACUUGGGCUAAUACCGGAUACGUCCUGGCCUGGAGACAGGGUGGGAGAAAGGUUUACUGCCGAAGGAUCGGCCCGCGUCGGAUUAGCUAGUUGGUGGGGUAACGGCCCACCAAGGCGACGAUCCGUAGCUGGUCUGAGAGGAUGAUCAGCCACACUGGGACUGAGACACGGCCCAGACUCCUACGGGAGGCAGCAGUGGGGAAUAUUGGACAAUGGGCGAAAGCCUGAUCCAGCCAUGCCGCGUGAGUGAAGAAGGCCUUAGGGUUGUAAAGCUCUUUCAGCGGGACGAUAA
rnacentral:rRNA from 1 species